rnacentral:ncRNA from 1 species
CGUAUAGAAGGGCAAACCCGGCGAAAGCCGGGGGCGCAAAGCUACGGGCCUAAGGGCGGGGAGGCCUAAGGUCGCCGGGCUGCCGGG